CACGGGGGGAGCAAGCGUUGUUCGGAUUCAUUGGGCGUAAAGGGCUCGUGGGUGGCUUUGUAAGUCGGAGGUGAAAGACCACGGCUCAACCGUGGAAACGCCUUCGAAACUGUGAAGCUUGAGGCUGGGAGAGGAAAUCGGAAUUCCUGGUGUAGCGGUGAAAUGCGCAGAUAUCAGGAGGAACACCGGUGGCGAAGGCGGAUUUCUGGACCAGUUCUGCCACUGAUGAGCGAAAGCCAGGGGAGCAAACAGG
rnacentral:rRNA from 1 species